rnacentral:rRNA from 1 species
GACGAACGCUGGCGGCGUGCUUAACACAUGCAAGUCGAACGGAAAGGCCCUGCUUUUGUGGGGUGCUCGAGUGGCGAACGGGUGAGUAAAACGUGAGUAACCUGCCCUUGACUUUGGGAUAACUUCAGGAAACUGGGGCUAAUACCGGAUAGGAGCUCCUGCUGCAUGGUGGGGGUUGGAAAGUUUCGGCGGUUGGGGCUGGACUCGCGGCUUAUCAGCUUGUUGGUGGGGUAGUGGCUUACCAAGGCUUUGACGGGUAGCCGGCCUGAGAGGGUGACCGGCCACAUUGCGACUGAGAUACGGCCCAGACUCCUACGGGAGGCAGCAGGGGGGAAUAUUGCACAAUGGGCGGAAGCCCGAUGCAGCAACGCCGCGUGCGGGAUGACGGCCUUCGGGUUGUAAACCGCUUUCGCCUGUGACGAAGCGUGAGUGACGGUAAUGGGUAAAGAAGCACCGGCUAACUACGUG